AAAAAAAAAGUGUGUGUAAGAAGAUGAAAAAAAACUGUAGUGAGAGAAACUUAAUGUACAUAAAAGUACAUUCAAGAGAGAGGAAGAGACAGGCAGACAAAGAAAAAUAGAAAAGGGAGAACAUGAGAAAGACCAACAUAUAAAAGACAAGGGAGAUGAAGAGAAGUUCAGAUACAGAAAAAGGAGAGCAAGAGGAAGUCAGAGAAAAAAGUAACAUAAGAUAGAAGACCAUAAACAACUUUUCCAAUUUAGGCAGCAGCAAGCAGAUCCAGUUAGGAGAUCAGAGAACCUGCUGGGAAACCAAGAUAGAACUCCAGAUGACUAGACAUCAUUGCUUUGUGAAGACUGCUGAAGAGAAAUUACAACUGUUGCCUGCAGAUUCCACAUGGUGGUUUUCAUCACGAGCCGAUCAACAUCCAAAUUCAGCAGGGAUGCAGAGAUGACAUUAUGAGCUGAUGUGGAGAAAUCUACAGAUGACUCACCAAUGGAUCCUCUGCAGUGAAUGGGUGCCGUCAGAAUGAGAGUCCAAACAGCUGAUA